UUCUGACACAUACUUCAAAAUGGAAGAUUUUGAGGACAUCAUGUUAAGUACAAUAAGCCAAUCACAAAAAGACUAAUGCUGUAUGAUUCUACUUACAUGGGGUUCUUAGAAUCUUCAAAUUCAUAGAGACAGAUAGUAGGAUUGUGGUUGCCAGAGGAUGGGGAGAAGGGAUUGGCGAGUUAUUAUUUAAUGGGCACAGAGUUUGUUAGGGAAGAUGAAAAAUUUUGGAUAUAGAUGGUGAUGAUGUUGGCAUGGCAGUGUAAGUACAUUUAUUGCCACUGAAUUAUAUGCUUAAAAAUGGUUAAAAAGAUAUAUUUUAUUUUAUGUAUAUUUUACAACAAUAAAAUAUUUUUGAAAGGUAAUUUUAUUUUAUCCUUAAAAUAUCUGCCUGUAACUACAAUAAUAUCCCUACCUAUCCUAUCAAAUAUAUACAUUUUUUCAAAAAUAUAUUUUAUAAACUCAAAAGUAGUAUGCUAAUAGGUCAAAAGAAUACGAAGAUUCAUUGUUUAGGUUGUCACCUUCAGUAGCUCUUUGAUUUUUUAAUUGACUGCACUGCAUUCAUAAUUGAUAUUCCAGAGACUCACAUUCUUGUUGCUAUAGGCUCCAAAUUGGAGGAGAAGGAGGAGUAGCUCCCAGCUGUCUGGAUGCCUAAUGUAAUCAGAAGCAAACAUCAGUAUGCAGAGAUGUAUGAUUGAAAAAAUGCUCACUUACUGCAUUUCUGAGAGAGGCACAAAUGUGGAAAAUAGUGAUGACCAUUUGUUCAUUUUUCAUCGUGCUAAUCUUCCUUCUCAGCCACAGAUAAAACAGUUGAUGGGUGAUUGUUUAAAGAACUACUUAUUCAUCACCACUCUCUUACUUUCUUUUCCCCCUAGCUUGGAAAUAAAAAUAUUCCAUAAUUAAUUCCUUCAGCAUAUUAUUUUCCACAAUUGUUUUGUCACAUCACUUGUUUAUAACAUUCAUAUGAAUUCCAUAUGGUAAGUAUUCCAGAUAUAAUUUUUUCAUGUAUUUUUUUGCCAGAACAUACAAUAUAUCCAAAGCUACAAUUAAUUAUUCUCCCCCUUUUUCCACUUCAACAUAUUUCAUUUCUUAGUUUCCAUUAUAUUUAGAAACCUUUCUGAAGCUGAGAUCCCCUUAAUGGGCUACAUUUUUCCAUGGCAUUUUAUUAAACAAUAGAUAAUAUUAUGUCUCGGUGGUGUUCUGAGCAGUGAAAGAAGAGAAUGCCUCAUCACACCAGAAAUCGUAAGAAAUAUUUGAGCCUCCUAAAAACAGAUUGAAAAAAAGUUAACGUAAUUUUUAGACAUUAUCUAAAGCCAGAUGAUGUUAUGAGAACAAAAUAGCUUAGGAGGCAGAACAUUUUUAAAAAAUAAUUCCAUAUAGCUGUUGGGACUUCCAGUUUUAGCUCCCACACGGGAAGAGCUUGAAAAUAUUGCUCCUUUUCUUACAAUAGAGGAACCUGGAGAAGCUGAAAAUCAAUGAAUCUUUUGGAUCCAUCAGAAAACUGACCUGUGGAGUCUAUCAUCAUCCUGUUAUCUGGUGAGACAUGUACAUUCAAAGGGACGAAGCUGAGAUUUGCUUACACUGCCAGCUGACACACUGAGUUCAGCAUUAUAAGACCAGAGGGUGAGCCCACCAAAAAUGCACUGGAUUCCUGAUGCAUCGAAACUGUGUGAUAAUGAAUCUGUUUUAGCCCACCCAAUUUGUGGUAAUUGUCACACAGCAGUAGAAAAUGAAUAUGGAAAUGUACAGACACUGUAUUUCACUCCUUAUACCAUUUGCUAAACAAACUAUACAAUCUAUAUAAAAGAAAAAUGUAUUAAAUGUACUCUAGCAUGACAGAGAUAUUUGUUACUCUAAUUGCCACAUUUUAUGUAACCUUGUU
ensembl:lncRNA